AACCCUGAUCAGCCAUCCCGCGUGGUGCGAUGAAGGCCUUCGGGUUGUAAAGCACUUUUGGCAGGAAAGAAACGUCGUGGGUUAAUACCCCGCGNAACUGACGGUACCUGCAGAAUAAGCACCGGCUAACUACGUGCCAGCAGCCGCGGUAAUACGUAGGGUGCAAGCGUUAAUCGGAAUUACUGGGCGUAAAGCGUGCGCAGGCGGUUCGGAAAGAAAGAUGUGAAAUCCCAGAGCUUAACUUUGGAACUGCAUUUUUAACUACCGAGCUAGAGUGUGUCAGAGGGAGGUGGAAUUCCGCGUGUAGCAGUGAAAUGCGUAGAUAUGCGGAGGAACACCGAUGGCGAAGGCAGCCUCCUGGGAUAACACUGACGCUCAUGCACGAAAGCGUGGGGAGCAAACAGGAUUAGAUACCCUGGUAGUCCACGCCCUAAACGAUGUCAACUAGCUGUUGGGGCCUUCGGGCCUUGGUAGCGCAGCUAACGCGUGAAGUUGACCGCCUGGGGAGUACGGUCGCAAGAUUAAAACUCAAAGAAAUU
rnacentral:rRNA from 1 species